rnacentral:rRNA from 1 species
UACGUAGGGUGCGAGCGUUGUCCGGAAUUAUUGGGCGUAAAGAGCUCGUAGGCGGUUUGUCGCGUCUGCCGUGAAAGUCCGGGGCUCAACUCCGGAUCUGCGGUGGGUACGGGCAGACUAGAGUGAUGUAGGGGAGACUGGAAUUCCUGGUGUAGCGGUGAAAUGCGCAGAUAUCAGGAGGAACACCGGUGGCGAAGGCGGGUCUCUGGGCCGAUACUGACGCUGAGGAGCGAAGGCUAGGGUAGCAAACAGG